rnacentral:rRNA from 1 species
UACGAAGGGGGCUAGCGUUGUUCGGAAUUACUGGGCGUAAAGCGCGUGUAGGCGGGUCUUUAAGUCAGGGGUGAAAUGCCAAGGCUCAACCUUGGAACUGCCUUUGAUACUGGAGACCUUGAGUCCGGGAGAGGUGAGUGGAAUUGCGAGUGUAGAGGUGAAAUUCGUAGAUAUUCGCAAGAACACCAGUGGCGAAGGCGGCUCACUGGCCCGGAACUGACGCUGAGAUGCGAAAGCGUGGGGAUCAAACAGG